rnacentral:rRNA from 1 species
CCUACGGGUGGCUGCAGUGAGGAAUAUUGGUCAAUGGCCGGAAGGCUGAACCAGCCAAGCCGCGUGAAGGACGAAGGUGCCAAGCAUUGUAAACUUCUUUUGUCAAGGGACAAAAUCAGGCUCGAGAGCCUGACCGAGGGUACUUGAAGAAAAAGCAUCGGCUAACUCCGUGCCAGCAGCCGCGGUAAUACGGAGGAUGCGAGCGUUAUCCGGAUUUAUUGGGGUUAAAGGGUGCGUAGGCGGACUGUUAAGUCAGCGGUAAAAGCCCGGGGCUCAACCCCGGCUAGCCGGUGAAACUGGCGUUCUUGAGUGGAAGAGAAGUAUGCGGAAAGCGUGGUGUAGCGGUGAAAUGCAUAGAUAUCACGCAGAACCCCGAUUGCGAAGGCAGCAUGCCGGCUUCCGACUGACGCUGAAGCACGAAAGCGUGGGGAUCGAACAGGAUUAGAUACCCCUGGUAGUC